UGGCUAGCUCUGCAGUGAUCAAGCUUGCUUUGGUGGUGGCCUUGUGCAUGGCGGUGAGCGUUGCUCAUGCCAUAACAUGUGGCCAGGUGAGCUCCAACCUUGUACCAUGCUUUGACUACGUGAGGAGUGGCGGACCUGUCCCUCCAGCUUGCUGCAAUGGAAUCAGAACCAUUAACGGCUUGGCCAAGACCACCCCUGACCGCCAGGCUGCUUGCAACUGCCUGAAGAGUCUUGCCGGCAGCGUCAGUGGUGUUAACCCUGGCAAUGCCGAAUCGCUUCCUGGAAAGUGUGGAGUCAACGUCCCCUACAAGAUCAGCACCUCCACCAACUGCGCCACGUAAGUAUCACAAAACCCAAACUACCGUUGGAUCAAAAUUAACUGUUUGACAGUAUCUCAAAGAACCCUUAUUCCCGUUUGAUCUAACGGUUGAAUUCCAUAACCUAAAUAAAUGCAUACCUCGUUAGUAAUUGUUUUUGUUUGGGCUGAUGUUUCUUCCUCAAGAACAACGAUAUAAUUUAUUGACUUCUGUGUGUGUUCUUUUUUUUUUUUUUUUUUGGGUAUGAAUGCAGCGUGAAGUAAGCUUGAAGGGAGAUGAUCAUUUUCGGCGGCAGAUAAUUAUAAUAGAGUGAAAAUAAAACGUGGUUGUGCGAUCCGGCCACAAUCCUCAUGAGGGAAUCGUUUAAGUUAUUCUAUACUACUUCUGUAUCAUCCCUAUAUAUCCAUGUAGAAUUAAUUAAUAAUAUAUUAAGUAUAAGUAAAGUUCUCCUCUUUUGCUCUAUAUUCCUUUUUAAUUACUUAAAUUCCUCUUCCUCCCACAAGAAACUAAACAAAAAUGGAACGGAAAGAGAUACGAAGAAAAAAGGAAGCAAAACAAGCAUGAUCAACCGCUGGAUUGAAUUCACUAAUGACUGUUAACAUUAAAGACUUGUGAUGUGGUUGAGAUUACUGCAUUUUUCGCUAAUAAAAAAUGGAGUGAAAAAUCUAAAUCUCCAGGUUUUUUAUUUUGAAAGCCAAUAGAUUAAAAGCUCCUGGUUGUUGAGCCUGCUAUUGUUAGUAAAAUUUGUGAUAUUAAUUAUGAUGUCCAUAGUUGAGAAAAAUGAUGAAUUAAUUUGGGUUGGGAUUUUCUCUGCCAUGAGCUACUUGGUUACAAACUAAUUAUGCUAUGAUACUCGAGCUCAUUUUAGAGCUACUGUUCCAAAUAAAGUGCCGAGACUUAAAGGGUGAACCGAAAACCGUACAGAAGAGUAACUUUGGUUUGGUUUUCUCAAUUCGUAAAGGGUAAACCAAAGUAACUAAAUUCAAUCUUUAAAUUUUGGUUUGGUCCAGUUCGAUUUCGAUUUUUUUUUUUUAAAUUUGAAAUUGGAAAGAAUUGAAGGAAAAAAAACUUGAGGUUGGGGAAGAUAGAUAACCCGAUUUCAAGAUCCACAAAUAACAAUCAAUUCAUAAAAUUAGAUAUUAAGAGUCUAAGCACUCAAUGAACCACAAAAAAAGAUAAUUCACAAUCUAACAUUACGAUCGUAAAAUAAGUAUUCCACUAAACAAAAUAAAAAGUUUUUAAAGCAUGGAAGCUAUUACAAAUCAAGCUUCAACUCUACAAUACUUCAACUUCAAAAGUUCUAACAUCUAACCAUUGUGAGCUCUAAUGAGAGUUUGCAUAUGCAGGGGGAACAACAUUAGGAUUAAGUGUAAAAUGAUGUAGUUUUGCUUAUUUUGGUUCGGUUUUUUAUCCAAUAAGAACCUAAAAUUGAAUCAAUAAAUUUCAGUUUGGUUUCUUCAACUUUCUUUUUUUUUUUCUAAUUAAUUUUUUUUUUCUUUCAGUUUUCAAUUUUCUAAACCCCUAAUGAUUAGGCCCUUAAAAAUUCAAAAUAUCACUCACCAUCAUCUUGUUUGUGGGUCGUGGACUUGUCCGAUUGGGCCCUAUUGCGCCAUGUACCUUCUACAAAUGUUGUUCACUUGUGUACUGUUUGGUACGCUGAUGGGACGGGACAGAACGAAGGUUCUGUGUUAUUUUUGGUACGCCCAUGACGGAAUGGGAUAGUUGUUCCAUUCUGCGUUUGGUAUGCGCUGGACGGAACGAAAUCAAAAGAUUGAAUGACUAAUUUAUUGUUCCAUUAUAGUUUUACCAUGCAUUUUUUAUCAUCUGGGUCCUCCCUCUGCAAUCUGUUUCAAGAUGGUUAUCUCAUCCAUGGCCGCCUCAGGUAGCGGUCAGCACUCUUUUGCACUUUCAGAGCAACAAAUCUCUGGCAUUUUUGUGCAAUUCAACACACACCCAACAAAAACAAGACACAUUUGUCAUUAAUCCUCCAUUAGUUUACUUAAAACCAAGGUCUAAAAUAUUGAUAUUAUCCCGAUAUUUCCAUCUAAAUUUCCGUGUUUUUGGACUACCGAUAUUUCCGAUAUUAUCGAUAUUUUAGACCUUGAUAGGAACUCUAUGUGGUACUAAGUCACUCAUGUAUCUGACCAUGCAAUGUAUAAAGUGUAAAAUAUUGUACUAAUUCAUUAUAUAUAAAUGAUUAUAGUGCGUUUAAACUUCUUUCAUUAAUUACUACAUAUUUUCUACACUCAUAAUGUUUGUCAGCUCGCUAUAUAAUCAAAUUAAAUCAGUUAAAUCCAUCAUGAAAUACAUUUCCUUUCGAUUUUUUGUGAUAAACUAAUAGAUAAUUGACUAAAUAAACAUCCUACAAAGUUUCAAUAAAAAUUUCCAAUUUUUCUUACAAUUUCCGUGGUUUUUAUUCAAUUUUUAUUGAUAUCGAUAAUAUCCCGAUAUUUCCAUCGAAAUUUCCAUGUUUUUGGACUACCGAUAUUUUCGAUAUCAUCGAUAUUUUAGACCUUGCUUAAAACUAAGCAUGUCAAAGAUAAAAAAAAACCAAGAACAAGAUUAAAAUUUCAAUUACUUUCCCCUACAUUCUCAAAAGACUAAUAUCUACAAACUCAGAUCAAAAAGCAAUAAAAUGCAGUGUUGUAAAAAGAGAAGAGAGAGGGAGAGAGGAGUAUAGAGUGUUGGGUGUCCCAGGCGAGCCAGACGGUGGAGAAAUGGCCCCAGCCGAGCUUGGUCUGAACGACAUACCGUCCGCUCUUGAAAGUGUCACUGAUUCGGACGGCGUGGUAGCCGUCGCGCCGGUAGUCCUCCGUGCCUUUGUCCUCCGACGUGUAGUUGCUACUCUGACUCCGAUUGAAAUUUUCCAUGGAAAAAUCAAGAAAACGAACCUGGAGAUGCAGCAGCUACGGGAGAAGAUCGAGAUUGAACCUGGAGAUACAGCGGCUACGAGAGAGGAUGAGGAGGAAGAUUACGGGAAAAGGUAGCGGCAUGUAGAGAAGAUAGAACAAAGAAGAAAGAGUUUUAGGGUUUGUUUGUUUUUUUAUGGUGUAAAUAUUGAAAAACAUGAGGGGUAUUUUUGUCUUAAAAUGUUAUAAUUUUGUGUUCCACGGAUGUGGAACUAGUCGUUCCAAGGAGGGUGAGGCGGAACCAAAAUUCACCCAAAACUCGUCCCCUGGAACAACACGUUCCACCCGUUUUAGGCUCAUCAAACAUGGAACGGAACGCCUUUCAUCACUGCGUUUCGUCCCGUCCCGUCCUACGUACCAAAGGUAUCGUUUGGUAUGCAGACAAGAUGGGACGGAACGGAGAGGGAGCAAAGAUGCCCUUGGAUGGAAACAAUGAGGAAAAAGAAGGAGACGGAAGGGUUAUGAUUUUAUGUUCCACAGAUGUGGAACGAGUUGUUCCAGGGGGUGAGGCGGAAUGAAAAUUCACCCAAAAUUCGUCCCGUGAAACAGAUCGUUCCACCCGUUUUAGGCACACCAAAUGUGGGACGGAAUACCUCGUCCCAGUACGUUCCGUCCCGUCCCAGACACCAAACGGUACCUUGGGUAUAUAACCUAAAACAUUGUUAUUGACGUAUUUGGUGAAGCCUUUUUUGGAUGCGUUGUUUUGCUGUCGUCUAGUCUGCUGCAUGCACGCAAAAAUAGUCUUUUAAGUGAGUGUCGUCUCAUGGAAGAUUUUUCACAUCACCUAGAAAUUUUGAGAAAGUGGCCUUUCUCCUACCUUAUGUACAUUCUUAUAAAAAAAAAUAAUAAUAAGGAAAUAUGUCAAUUUCACCAAAAAAAAAAAAAGGCCUUACCCUACUUCGCAAAAAUCAUAAUUUUGCUUUCUGAUGGUUAUGGACAAGACCAAGUAUAUAUAUUACUCUCUCAUGGUAAUGAAUAAGAUUAACUGGACCAACUGAAUCUGUUGAUCACAUGCCAAAGCUCAAGCAGAGCCAUCUUUGGCCUUCGUCCUAAUUUUAUAAAAGGACCCUCCUAUGGUAGUUUUUCAUGAUUUUUUUUGUGUGAAGGUAUUCAUGCCAAAUUCAAUAAACAAUCAAAAUUCUAACUUAAUUGAAGUUAGUAUCUCAUUCCAACUAAUUCAAUAAUCUAACAAAAGAUUUUUCUUGCUUCAAUUGCUAUGAAAUUACAAUUUUGUGAAGAAAAAAAAGUACGACUAAGAGAGAGAGAGAGAGAUAGGGGAAGACGCUUUUGUGUGUAGCAGAAAGUAUUACACAAAUUAACUAUUUUUAUUGUUUUAUUACUAGAGAAAAGUGAAAGGUUAUAUAAUAGGGUGGUGCUAACGAUACUGAUUUUUACUUUUUACACAUCAUUUUCAAUUUUCGAUCAUCGGAUCGAAUGGAUUGAAGAAGAUUAAUUGACAAAAAAUAAUAAGAGUGUGGAAAGUAAAAAGAAGCGUGUGACUAAUACUCCCCUAUUAGUGCUCACUUAGUCCAUUGUAAUAUGUACUGACAAGAAAAGAAAGGAGUGCACUUUUGCUAAUCUCAAAUUACACGAAACUCAUUACGUAUGUAGGUAGUAAUUUCCACUAUGAGUUAGACGUGUAAAAGAACAAAAGAGGUGCAAAAAUCAGUUUUAUCAUGUAAUAUGUGAAAGUGAUGAACCUUCCAAAUAAAAAGUUAUGUGAUCAUAUCUGUAAUCUGUAAUCUCUAUAAAUGCGAUUUACCAAUAUUAGCCAACUAUUUUUUUCUGGAUACAGUUACUCAAAACAGGUUCACUGCCUUACCGAUGAAACCAUUUAAGCUCUCAACCAUUACAACCCAAAAUUGUGAUAAGAUAAGAAAUGAAAUCAAAGCAUCGAACCCACCUUAACCACCAAAUUAAGUGAUUACAGUUGGCUCUUUCAUUCAUCUAGCUUCUUCACUCUAUAUAACCACCGUAUCUCAGCUCGAACUAAACAUCUUAACUCAGAAGAAAAACUGUUGUGUGUUCAUAGUAAUAUUAUAUGGCAAACAUUGGUGUACCAAUGAAGGUAGGAGUUUGUGUGUUGCUCCCGUGCAUGGUGAUGGGUGCACCUUUAGACCAGGCCAUAACAUGUAGCGAUGUGACUGAAGCCAUGAUCCCCUGCAUAAGCUACCUUACGGGCAAACCUUGAUAGGAAAAAUCCUAGUCGAAGGAAAAAGAGUACAACAUGCAUGUAUCAUGGAUGCUCCUCCUGAUAUGUAUCACCCAUCAAUUCCACAUUCUUCAAAUUUAACUAAUUGGUAAGUCGACGUUAUCCGAUACCAUGCACUAGCUUAUGAAAAUGUGCACUUUGGUAGAGAUUUGAUGAAUAGGUCUGCCAAAAUUUCAUUGGAACGGAUUUGUCUAACUUUAAUAACUUUAGCAUUUUAAAACUUAUGUGCAUUGAAAAGCUUUGGAGAUAUGUGUUUAGUCUUAUCACCCUUGAUGAAUCCUUCCUUCAUUUGGGCAACACAUGCUGCAUUAUCUUCAUGAAUGACAGUUGGAGUGUCUGUCUUUGAAAGUAAACCACAUGAAUUCCGGCUAUGAUGGAUCAUUGAUCUUAACCAAGAACAUUCACGACUUGCUUCAUGUAAAGCAAUUAUUUUCGAGUGAUUGGAAGAUGUAGCAACUAAUGUUUGCUUUGUUGAGCGCCAUGAAAUUGUUGUAUCGUCUUUAGUGAACACAUACCAGUUUGUGGGCGGGCUUUAUGCGGAUUAGAGAGAAAACCAACAUCUGCAUAUCAAACAAGGAUAUGGUCAUUUGUGGAUUUCUCUGAGUAGAAGAGACCUAUGUCUGUUGUCCCACGAAGGUAUCUUAAAACAUUUUUGACUCCCUUCCAAUGACGAAUUGUUGGAGCAGAGCUAUACCUUGCUAACAAGUUGGUUGAAAAAGUUAUAUAUGUUCUAGUACAUUGUGCUAAAUACAAUAAAGCACCUAUUGCACUUAGAUAUGGUACUUCUGGACCAAGGACCAUUUCAUCAUCUUCUUUUGGACGGGAUAGAUCUCUCUUAAUGUCCAGAGAAUGAACAACCAUUGGCGUACUGAGUGGAUAAGCCUUAUCCAUGCCAAAAUGCUUCAUGAUUUUUUCAAUGUAAGCUGAUUGAUGGACCAAAAUUCCAUUAGCACAUUGCUUGAUCUGCAGGCCGAGACGAUAUUUUAUUUUUCCAAGGUCUUUCAUUUCAAAUUCGCUUUUCAAAUAUUCAGUAGUUCUAUUAAGCUCUUCAGGGGUUCCAGCUAAGUUCAUAUCAUCAACAUAUACUGCCACUAUAGCAAAUCCAAAAUUUGGUUUCUUAAUGAACACACAAGGGCAAAUGACAUUGUUGGUAUAUCCCUCUUUGAUCAAAUACACACAAAGAUGAUUGUACACAUCGAAAUUUCGAAUGUCCUCACUUCAAGGCGCGUCGUAUACAUGUGUUUGUCACGUGUAGAAGAUGCGUUUUAAAGUCCCUUAAUGUAGACUUCCCUCAACCUCAGUCAAUUACCACCAUCAAUAGACUUCCCUCAGCCUCAAGAACAAAGCCUAUGUAUUGGUUGAGGCGUCGAAGUUCGUUUUGAGGUCAAAUUAAGAACACCAAUUUCAAUGGUUUCCGACGGAUCGAUGGUGUUUUUAGGUGUUUUCCGGCUGAAUUAGCCUUCAGCCUAGGUAUAAAAGUUCUUCCCCUUGUUGUGAUCUACAUUUCUGUAAAAUUUGGUAAUUUUUGGAGUUAGGCAAAAAAUUUCUGCGAGUUUGGGCGGUCGGCCGUUGCGUGCGUGGGCCGAGACCCAACCUGCCCUUCCUAGACUAAUUUGGAUACCCUGAUUGCAUAUGUGAUGUCCGAUUGACAAAAUCUCAUCAUAUGACUAUAGUUUUGAUGGAGACCGCCACUUGGCCACUACAUAAAUCGAUGAUCCAAUAGUUGGAUCAUCACCAAACUUUAAUAUGUAAUAGUGCGUAAUAUUUGAGGACAAUAGGAAAUUACCAAUCGGGAAACUGACUUACGGAUCUUCCCGAAUUGGAUUUCUAAGUUUGUAAAAUCAAACAUUUACCGCCACUUAAUCUUAGCAAUUGGUGGAGAUCCAACCGAUGGAUCGUAAUGAAAUUUUAGUAUGUUGUUCUAGAAAAGUAGUGAGACUCUUGGAAAGUUACGGGUCAAAAAUCUGAUUGGCGGAUCUUUCGGUUUAGAUUUAUAAGGUUGCGGACCCUACUCUUGACCUUGAUCGACGGUUGGCUUUUUAGUCAACUAGCCCGAGUUCUUCUAGCGUGUUGGUUAUCUUAGAGUGUGGUUGAGAUUUCACAGAGCUUGAUGGGCUCAUCGUGAUGAUGUGUCUUCCUCGACUGACGUGCACCUCGAUUUAUGUAAUGAUGGCAUCACAUUGUGUUAUGCUUGUUUAUUUAUGUGAUUUGACUUGUGUAUUGAACUUGUUGUGAAGUGUGGCUGAUUUGUGUGUUUGGCCUAAUGUGAUGAAAUGUGAGGGCUAGGAGUGGACCAUAAACCCAUUGUCAUGGGGUUUGUUGCUUCGAGACUUGUUUCACAUAUCGUAUCAUUAUUUCAUUUCUCAUUUCAUUGAGCCGUUCUAAUUGUGUACCUUGUGCUUUGUUCAAUUUCUAGUUUCGUUGAGUUUUUGUAUUUUGAGUACUUGUUUCAUGUCUUGUUCUUCGAGCGUUGCUAUAUUCCUUGAACUUUGGCUCAGUUCUGUUGAGUGAUUCGAAACUGGGUUUCCAUUGGGGUUCCGUUGAGUGGUCUGGUUCCCUGCUCCGUCUGGAUUUCAAUAAGUGGUCCGGAAUCCCUCGUGAUUCGCGAUUCCGUUAAGUGGUCCGGAAUUGUAUCCAGCUUAGAUUUAAGUGAGUUGUUCAAUAUGCAUUGUACUCCGCAAUUUCGUUGAGUAGUCCGGAAUCGUAUCCACUUAGAUUCCAUUGAGAAGUCUGAAAUCCCUUCUAUUCCGCGAUUCCGUUGAGUGAUCUGGAAUCGUAUCCUGGUUUGGAUUCCGUUGAGUGGUCUAGAAUCCCCUUUGGUGUUUUGGUUCCAUUAAGUGGUUCGCAACCCAAUGUUGAUGGAUUUUGUUGAGUGGUCCGAAAUCGCAUCAUUUGAAUUGUUGGUUCCUUGGAUUUGAUUUCAGCUUCAGAGAUGUAGGCUUCGGUCGAACUGUGUCUCUCUAGCCCUGCAUUUCGGUGUAUGGUAUGUGUGAUUGAUUGAUAUGAUUGUGGAAUAAUGUUGGUUGUGAUUGUUGUCAUUAUGAUUAGACUCAUUGACCAAUAUGGCUAGAGAUUUACGUUGCGCUUCAUCGAAUGUUCCUCGUGAUGUUGCAUGCCUGUUGUGUGGUAUUAUGUUGAGACAUAAUGAUUUAUGUGAUGAUUGUUCGAGUGUAGUGAAGGGUGAACUAUGAAUGGCUUGAUCCCUAUUGAGGGUACGUAGGCAGUCUAACGGGGAGAUUAGACGCAACCAUAAAGUACACGAAAACUACUAUGCAAUUCGAAUCUUGAGUUGUGCAUUGUUCAUAUCCUGAAGGCAGGGUAUGUUAGAUAUACGGGUAUUUGGUGAUGUCACGUGUCGAUCCUAGACGUAUGUCGGGAUUGAGGUGUGACAAUUAUUAUCAAGUCUUCAUCAAUAUUAGCUAAAGCAUGUGGGCAUAUAUUUCCACAAUUUUUACAACAUAUGGAGAUAUGUUUACGGUGCCGUAAAAUUUGUUUUUUCUUCAGCCAACUGGGAAGACAUUAUACAAGGUUAAUAUUUUGUAAUUACCUAGUUUUAUCAUUAAAGACAUAUAUAUAGUGAAGAUCUACCAUGAUUGUUUUUUCAUUGUUUCAAUCAAGGGUGACAUUUUUGUGAAGUACACAAUAACUGGUCAUGAAAUUAAAUAUAUACUAAAAGAGAAACAUAACUAAUUUACUGUUCAUAAGCACAGUAUGCUUCCUAUUUUGUCCUAACUAAAUUUGCUUUAUUACGUUUCUGCCACUGUCUGAGAAGUUCUUUGAUAGUGUUAUUCCUUUUUUGCCCCUUUAUUGUUUCUUUGGUCACUGUUUAACUACAGUGUACUCCCGCUUUUAUCCCUGCUUUAGUCUUUGGCCUUUUAGGCUGUGUUUGUUUGACCUUCUUAGGGGUCAUUGGACUAGACUAGAUUAAUUGUUUGUCCAGUCUUAUGUUUGUUGUCCACACUGGACUAGUUUUAAUGGGACUAACAGGGACUCAGCCCGACUGAAUGCUUCACUAAACGUUCUUAGCGAGACCCCUCAAUUUCAAGUGAACUGCUAGUCUCGUUCUCUCCCCCGUUGUUGAUCCCUCGACGUUUCCCUUCUCCUUCACUGCUUCGCCCUCUCCCUUAUCCUUCGCACCUUCGCCAUUCCCUUCUCCUUCGCACCUUCGUCCACUCCCUUGGGCCUUUACUAUCCCACCCAAAAGCCUAAACCCAGACCUUAAACAAAAACUGAAAAAAAUCCAUUGAUUCCCUUCCUUUCUUCUUCGUUCAAGUCACACUCUCCUUCUCUCUCAGCAAAAUUACCAUGGUUGCAACCACCAGACCACCACUAGACAACCAUCACCAGAAGCUCGUCGUUGAUCUCCGCGUUCACGCGUGACCCAGAUGCAAGUCGGGACCGAAAGCGUACCAAAUGCUCAAGCAUCUACGAAUCCCCACACAAAUUCAAAAAAAAAAGGCAAAAUCACUACAUAACCCUGGGAUUUUCCAAGAAAUUCAGAGGAGGUGCUGGGUGGAGAUCUCCGAUGAAUCCUCCGUGUGAAUCUUCUGCAUAAGGAAAAGAGGGAAAGGUUAAGGAUAAGCGGACGGAGGAAAAAAAGGGAGAGGGGGGAGACAGUAGCCGAAAGAAAAUAGGGAGAAGUAUGGAAAGAGAGGAAGAAUAUUUUGGAAAAAUGGUGAAACAAAAUAAAAAGAGGGAGAUGAGAGGGAGAAUGGCGGAGGAAAAGAUGAAUGGGCUAUAGAGAGAUAAUUUUAGGAAAAAAUAAAAAAAGAUAUUGACCUUUACGGAAGGAUAUAUGAUUCUAGAAACAAAUAAAAUGAUAAAUUAAUAAUAAAAUAUUAAUAAAUAUAGAUAAAAUAAUAUAAUAUUUGAGUUAGAUAAUUAUCCAGCUUCUUAGUCCGACAUUGCACCAAACGCUUCACUCUAGUCCACCUUAAUCUAGUCUAAGCCAGUCUAGCUUAGUCUUGAAGUUAGGACAAUCCGAGAUAGUCCGGUGCAACAACGCACCCUUAUUUCAUUUCUGAAUUCUUCCUUCCCACACUGUUUUAGUAUCUCGACCCAUCUGUUCUCUAGAUGCUUCCCCACCGUUUCAGACUCUCGACCCACCUUUCCUCUGCCCGGCUCCUGCUUUCCCCGUCUCCCUCCUCACCUCAUCUCCCAAUUUCCCAACUUAUUUUCGAUUUACACUUAAAUCUCAUAUGAAUCUCCUUGGUCUCACCUAUCCUCUGAACCCAAAAAAGAUUUAGCCUUCCGACGACUCUGGCUGCCAUAAUCAAUCUUGGUUGUUGGCCGACAACCGGACUGCAACAUCGUCUUGUCUCACUCCAGCAUUAGCAUAUUCCAGCUUCAAACCCUCUCUGACCCUUUUUGCCAAAAUCGUUCUCACCGAUUUGUCAUCAGGUAAGAUCCUGGAGUUUUUAUUUGGCAUCCCAAACCUCAUCUCUCUUGCCACUAUUCCUCAAAACUUUCAUAUCGGUACAUCAACUCAACUUUCAUUUAUUUCAACAGCUCAACUCUCUUUCUAUUUGAAACCUAAAGAUUGAUUAUUUUCCUUUUUUUCUCUGUUUUUAUUUUCCAGGGAAAAACACCAUCUUUGCCGAAAAAGUUUGAAUUUUUCUCGGGAAUUCUCACCCAUCCCUAAGAUUUUCUUUGUGGGUUUUGGUUCUCAGGUUGCGAAUUUUUCUUGGUGGCGAUGAUCGGUGUUCGUUGUUGUGUGGAUGAUCCCAGUGGAGCUUUGGUUUUCAGCUUUGGUGAUUUCUGCGUGGAUUUUUUGGGAUAUGGUUUGGGCUUCUGGGUAAGCAACUGUCACUCUAUUCAACUUAAAUUUAGUUCACUUUUUUUUUUCCUCAAUAAUUUGUUUGAUGGCAUGAUUGUUUGAUCCUUUACUAAAUAGUCAUCAAGAAAUGUAGGAAUUUUUAGUAGUUUUGAUUUCUUUUCAAUUUUUAUUUUAUUUUAUUUUCAAGCCCUGAGUUUUGUAAGAACCGUCUACCCUGUGCAUACACUAGAUACUCCUAACAUUUCAAAUAAACUACCAGUGAGUUCUAUAACUUUACUAAUAUUUAUUUACAAUGCAAGUUAAAUUGUUGGUUUUCUGUUUGUCAAUGUGUUAGCUUUUCUACUCUCUACCUUGCAUUAGAGGUUGCCAUGUCAGGUGAGUUCAAGUUCUACUUGGUACACAAGGGUUGUUUUUAGCUAAGUCUCAAAUUUGUGUGCUCUUCAUCAUGGCUUUUAUUUUGGUGGCAGUUAGGUGUCAUUAAUAUGAAGUGUAAGCUGGUUGAUCCAGAUGGUCUACUAAAUAAGCUAAGGGUAUUGAAAUCAGUUAAUGUAGAUGGCGUUUAUGAUUGAUUGCUGGUGGGGAAUAGUAGAGGGACAUGAUCCACAGAAGUAUAAUUGGAAUGGAUACAAUAGGCUCUUUCAGAUGGUGUGUGAGCUUAGAAUAAAGUGACAUGUCUGUUUUAUAUAAAUUCGUUUUUUCAAUUGUAGAAGUUUUUUCCUCUCAAUGGGCAUAUAAACAACAUGUGUGGUUAAUUGUUUUGCCAUCUUUGUGGUCAUUUUUAUUCUUUCUAUGCAUAUUUUUGGUAGCAAUUUAACAAUUGAUUGUAGAAACUUUUGUCUUUGUAUGUUGAUGCUUCUUAAUAGUGGUGGUGCCAUGCAUGUUCUUGGUUAAAUUAAUUGAGUAUGUCCGUAAUUUGGAAUAGUUCUUUUCUAAAUUGGCAGGAAUUUUUUCAGUUGAGGAGAUUGUUGGAUACUGCUGCUAAGUGGAUCAAUGGAAGCGAUAGCCAGUGAUUGAGGGUAUCUUUUGGAGGACUUUGUUGUGGAUGGGAUUCAAACAGAACCUUUCAACUUGAACGAGAGGAGAGGGAAAAAGGUUAUUUUGAUGCAGAUGGAAAGUUUAUUAAUAUGCCAUUAAAAAUGAAGUCAAGGUAAACAUGUUUAUCAUUUUUGGCAACAACAUGUUUAUCAUUCUUGGGUAGUUAAUGUUAGAGUGUUUAUCAUACAAUUAGGUUCUUGGAGUUUACUGAUGAUUUGCUAUGCGUGUAGGUCAUAAAAUAUUUUUUAUACUGAAGCUUUCAUCUCUCUGAUUAAAUUUAGUUGAAUUAAGUAAUUCAGUCAAUUACUUAAUUCAGUAAAAGAGACAACCAAAAAACGUGGAGGUGGAGUCAAAUGCAAAAUCAUAGAAUCAGAAAUUAAGGUAGUCGUUAUACAUUUCGUUUGAUUUGUUUGAAUAGGCUGAUUUAUAACUGUUUCAGUAUUAUGUUUCUUCGCAUGCAGAUUACCAUAUGUAUUUGAGAGCACAGCUGAUGUAAGUUCUCUCUUUAUGCCUCUAUCUCUCUGUGCAUUGAUAUGUUUUCUGUCAAUUUUAUUCUUCUGUAUGCAUUAUGUUUAUCCUGAACCAAAGGUUCCUUAUCUUUUAUUUAUGAUGAGUGUGUGCUGCUUGGUCUCCAAUGAUUAUUUGUAUUUCCGAAGGUAUAAUGGGAGGAAAAAUCCAUUCAACCUCGACCAAAUUGUAGGGAAUCCAAUUAAGAUGCUUACGUGAUUUUUUUUCAGCAUGAUACAUGAUUAAGGUUUUUUUUUUUGGUCAAUAAUACAUGUUUAAGGUUGAGCUUUGAAAAUUGCAGAUUUAUAAACUAUGAGUAGAGUUUCCGGGCAAUAUAGUCAUUUCUUAAUGGGCAAUGAAUAAUUAAGGUUUGAAAUCGAAAAGUAGAUUGCAAAUGUUGUUCAUUAUGAAAAACCUACAGGAACAUUAGUUCUUAGCAUUAAUCACAAAGUGCAGUUGUACUCGAGACUGAGAGAGUGGCGUUUAAUUGUUCUCCUAUGGGAUGUGGUUGAUCUUACCCUUUAUAUGUUUAAAUUUAUAUAUACUUAGUUGAGUUAUGUUUUCAUUUUUGGAUUCAGGCCUAGACACUAUUGAUCCCUCAAAAUUUUAGCCAUAAAGCAAAAGGUGGUGACUCACGUAGACAGCUGACUCAUUUUCAAUAGAAAGGAAUAGCCAAACUAACCCAGCUGGGAAAUAACGUUCACCAAUCACUGUCUUAGCACAUUUACUUAAGUGAAUACAUUGUUGUUUAUUAUGGCCGUCUUUCCAAGAUCAAGCCCCUUGCUCAGUUGUAUAAAGUUUGCAUCCUCAGUUGUGCCGUAUCGCAAGUUUGGAUUUUUGGGUGCCCCUUUCAUGUAGCAAAACGAAAAAUUUGAUGCAAAUCAGUUUGUCUCAAAUUGCAGCUUCCUCGGUUUCUCAAAUCUCAACGAUCAAUCUGCAGUAUCCCUCAAGCAGUUUCUCCCAAACUCUUACGAUUUGCAUUUUUGCUUAUCUCCCUACACUCUUAUCAGCAUUAUCACUGCUCUCUCAUAUGCUUUUCUUUGUUUUGCUCUAAUUUUUAAAUUUAUUUUUUUGUUAUUUAGUGUGAGAAAAUGGCUUCAAAAUUGGAAUUUCCAUUAUCUGGGCAAAGGAAAACAGAAAGAGAACACCAAUAGUGGUGACGAUGGAGAAUCCCUUCUUUGCUGUGGAAAUCGAAGGUCUAUGUGCAACAUUUAGCCCAGUUUAUAAGAGCAGGGGUCAAAAUGAAGAACCAAUGACAUGGGGAUUUGUUUAAUUUUAUCAAGUUUUGUACUGAGGUAAAACUCCCCCCAUUUAACAUAGUUUUAAAUGAUGAUUAGUAUGUGUGUAAAUAGGAUUGUGAGUAUGGUUGUAUUUAUGUAGUAGUAGAAUUAGAAACAUUGUUGUAAUUAUGUGUAACUAGAGUUGUAAACUAUGUUAAUUUAGGUUUUUGUGUGUAUUAUACAGUAAAAUGGCAUUUUUAUCCCUGCUGUGCAAUAGAAAUCUCUUGAUUUCUUCAGAACCUGCACUCAGCUUCGCCAUCUCUCUUCGAUCUCUGCUUCAUGCUCUUCAAUCUUUGCUUCAUCAUCUCUUCCUCCGUGAUUUCUUCACCAGCAACUUUGCUCUAAAUCUUUCCAAUUGAAAAAACCUAGAUCAUCAUCAUCUAUUCCUCUUCACCACAGGUACCUUCUGCACCUAUUACAUGUCAAAAUCUGCUUCGUGUUCUCUUCGUGUGUUGAUCUUUUGUCUGAUUUUGUUUUUGGUUGCAAGAAACGUUUAUCUUCUAGUUUUAGGGUUUUGUUAUGUGAGUUUGCAAACCCUUUCUGGGCAGGUAUAUAAGUUAUCUUUGCACUAUGCAAAUUUUUUUUUUUGGGCAAAUUUUUUGAUUUGGGUCUUUUGAUGGUUUGUGCUUUGAUUUUUCCCUGAAUGUUUAAAAAGUCAGAGAUGGCAAUGGUUAGUUUUUGGGUUUAGGGGACUGAGAAAUUGUGUGUUGUUCGUGUGCAUUCUUCAUUGUUUGCACUUUCAAUUUAAGAGGAUGCAAUAUAUUUUCAUCGGUACCAUAUCUUUUCAGAUAAUCAAGGGAGGAUGUUCAUGAUGUGUUAUUAGGGUAGUUCAAGUGCAACAAUUUUGUGACAGAUAUUAGUUUGAAACAUUGAUAGUUUUUAGUUCUUUGACUGCCUUCACAUCUCUUCCAUUUUAAAUGAUUGAGAGCUUAAUCUAUUCGUGUUUAUACAGAAAUAAAAAAAUGGUUAUAAUUGGAAUAUUACGCUUAAUCUUCUUUUGGUAUUUGUUUUGAUUUUCUUUUGUUGGCUGUGUUUUGUAGCUCAUCAGAAACAGUAAGCAAGUGAAAGCUAUAACCAAAGGUUUAUUUAGUUCUCCCAUAUGGUUUUCAUCUAUUGUAGGUAAACGAGAGCUACUGUGCUCUUUAUGCAAUAAAGUUCACCAUCAGCUCUAGAUACGAGCAUCAUGGCAAAGUUGAAGUAUGCAUAAAUGGCAAUAGUUUUGGCCUCAACUGGAAGUUGUAGCGAGUGUAACUAUAUUGGGACAUGUAAUGAGAAGAAAUGUUUAAGUAGCUGUGGGGAGGUAAUAAACAUGUUUACUUCUGGCCUAUGCUUACUCUAAGAUAAUUGCCAAAUUGGUUAAUUACACACGAGGCUAAAAACUUAUGGCCAACUAACCUUAUCUUAAUGCUUUAAUAGGCUACUUUGUUUCCAAUCUUGCUUAAAAUUGAAGAAUGACUAUUCUUGCAGAGUUGUAUUGAACAGAACAACUAUCCUCGGGGUAGCUGUAACACCUGAUGAGAAUUUUGAAGGUGAUCCAAUCGGAGGCCAGUUGUAGCUAAUGAUUCUCAAUUUCUCGAGUACAGCAGUAAAGGUCUUCUAUCUUCAUUUCUCAUUGACAUUUUUUUUCCUUGACAACAUAGUUCACAAGGCUUUUAGCCUGUUAUUAUUAUUGGAAUUAGAUUACAAUACUUGCAAUAAUUUUGGCAAGGAAUCAGUUGACAGUGUGGGGUUCAUGGAGUUUGGAUUCAGCAUUCUCUGAAAUUAGCCAAGGAAUGGAAAUUUUAUUGGUUUGAUUAGUAAUUUGGUAUGUUCUUUUUAUUUUUAUUUUUUUUUUGGGAAACUAAUUUGGUAUGUUCUUUAAAUUCUAUAAUUAUGAGAGAAACAGAGAUCAUCGUAUUAUAUAUUUUAUCAACAUUUAACAUUUAUGAUUGUGAACUAUCUUUGUAUGUUUAUCAAUUUAUUCUUUAUGAUUUUCAGUUUCCUAAAUGAAGUUUGACAUCUAUGAAAUUUAACAAUUGAUCUUCCUUUGCAUUCUUGCAUUUGAACUCCAAGUUAGUUUAUGCUAAAUGCUAUUUAACAAUUUAGAGAAAAGGUUUCAAUUAAUUGUCAUGCAAUGCAGCUGCAAAUUUGAUGAUUUAGAAUUAGCUUAUCCAUCUUCCAUUUGAUUUAUAAUCCUGCAGCAACGCGCGGGCAACAAUUUCUAGUAGCAUCGAAUUGGCAAAAAUAAAAUGGUUGUUUUUCGCUGUGUUUGUAAUUGAUUAGUUGGUGCAAUGAAACUUAUCUUAGGGUUUUUAUAAAGGGUGAUGCUAAAGAGACCAUUUAUUUGAACUAUAUUUUGUAGACCAAAUGAUGUGGCGUUUAAUGGUUGAAUUCCAUCUUUAAGUUACACAAAAAAAACCUAAAAUUAAAAAAAUUAACCAUCAAUUAAAACAUUAUAUGGUCUUCAAAAUAUCAUCUAUAUAAUUAAGUACCUUAUCUUUCACGUAGGUGGUAAGGGACGGAUCAUCUAUUUGAUUGGGCUAGAUAGUUUGAUUUUGUGCUUAAGAGUAAUUAAGGGACUUAAUUGUAAUUAAAAAAAAUAGAGUGGUACAUACCAAAAGCAGUAAUUUCAUCACAACGACCAACCAACUUCCUCCCAACUCCUACCACACGUAUAUGCGCAUUUUCUUCUGUAGUUCGGUGCACAUUGGGUAAUGUGUUUCUCACUGUCAUGUUAAGGAGACCUAAUUUUUAAAUCAAAUUGUGUAAACUAUAUUAUGUAGUUGUUGAUAAUUAAAUUAUUAAUGAAGUAUCGAUUAACGUGCUUAUCUUAUUAGUAAUACAUCAUUUGGUUCAAAAAUUUAGUCUCCCUAAUAUUAUCAUUCUCACUAUAUAUUUACUAGCAAGAAUAUAUAUCAAGGAAAAUACAUGGUUGCUUUUUUUUUUUUUUUUUUUUUUUUUUUUUUUUUUUUUUGUGGUUCAAUACAUGGUUGCUUAUAUAACUUUGCACAAUGGAGUAUGGUUAUACUUUCUUUCAUUUGUAAAUGGAAUGUAUUGACUAUAGGUUCGACUCUUUUACAUGAUGAAUUCAAAACUAAAUUAUUAUGAUCGAUCAAUUGUAAGACUCGUCCAAAAUAUCUAUUACCAUUUAAGAUAGAGCAUCGUUGUAUAAAAAAAAAAUCAUUCUUGAUUACAGAUAAAUCAUAAUUUGAGUUGUGUUCCGACUAAUUUUUCAAUACCUUUAAAAUAUAAGGAAUACUUCAAGCUUAUAAUUCGUCGCCAUGAUUGAGGUAACAAGUAAUUAAACACGUAAAUGUUGCCACAACAUUUGUUUACCACAACAUUUGUUUACCACCAUACCCUUCGUUCACACGUAUUCUUUCUUAAUUUUUCUCUAUAUAAGCACCACCAUAGUGCCUUUACAACUCACUAGCUACACGAGUCUUCAAAUCAAGUUCUUUCACAUCCAUUACUCAUACACACUUUGGUAAUCCACAUCCUAAUUAAUUCGUUAUGGCUAGCUCUGCAGUGAUCAAGCUUGCUUUGGUGGUGGCCUUGUGCAUGGCGGUGAGCGUUGCGCAUGCCAUAACAUGUGGCCAGGUGAGCUCCAACCUUGCACCAUGCAUUGGCUACCUGAGGGGUGGCGGACCUGUCCCUCCAGCUUGCUGCAAUGGAAUCAGAACCAUUAACAGCUUGGCCGAGACCAC
rnacentral:lncRNA from 1 species